rnacentral:rRNA from 1 species
UACGUAGGGUGCAAGCGUUAAUCGGAAUUACUGGGCGUAAAGAGCUCGUAGGUGGUUUGUCGCGUUGUCCGUGAAAACUCACAGCUCAACUGUGGGCGUGCGGGCGGAUACGGGCAGACUGGAGUACUGCAGGGGAGACUGGAAUUCCUGGUGUAGCGGUGGAAUGCGCAGAUAUCAGGAGGAACACCGGUGGCGAAGGCGGGUCUCUGGGCCGUAAACUG